rnacentral:rRNA from 1 species
GUCGAACGAGAACGGGAUAUAGCUUGCUAUAUUUGUCAGCUAAGUGGCGCACGGGUGAGUAAUGUAUAGGUAAUAUGCCUCUUACUAAGGGAUAACAAUUGGAAACGAUUGCUAAUACCUUAUAUGCCUUUAAGACUAAAGUCUGCAAGGGAAAGAUUUAUUGGUAAGAGAUUAGCCUGUAUUGUAUCAGCUAGUUGGUGAGGUAAUGGCUCACCAAGGCUAUGACGCAUAACUGGUUUGAGAGGAUGAUCAGUCACACUGGAACUGAGACACGGUCCAGACUCCUACGGGAGGCAGCAGUGGGGAAUAUUGCACAAUGGACGAAAGUCUGAUGCAGCAACGCCGCGUGGAGGAUGACACAUUUCGGUGCGUAAACUCCUUUUAUAUAGGAAGAUAAUGACGGUACUAUAUGAAUAAGCACCGGCUAACUCCGUGCCAGCAGCCGCGGUAAUACGGAGGGUGCAAGCGUUACUCGGAAUCACUGGGCGUAAAGAGCGUGUAGGCGGGUAAAUAAGUCAGAAGUGAAAUCCAAUAGCUCAACUAUUGAACUGCUUUUGAAACUGUAUACCUAGAAUGUGGGAGAGGCAGAUGGAAUUUCUGGUGUAGGGGUAAAAUCCGUAGAGAUCAGAAGGAAUACCGAUUGCGAAGGCGAUCUGCUGGAACAUUAUUGACGCUGAGACGCGAAAGCGUGGGGAGCAAACAGGAUUAGAUACCCUGGUAGUCCACGCCCUAAACGAUGUACACUAGUUGUUGUGAGGCUCGACCUUGCAGUAAUGCAGUUAACACAUUAAGUGUACCGCCUGGGGAGUACGGUCGCAAGAUUAAAACUCAAA